ACUUAGAUUACAGGUCAGGAUGUCUUCUCUCACAAGCGGGAUUCUAUGCUAAGUUCUAAAGGGCUAAAAAUGCUGGUCAUUAAAAAUAAAGUUAAGGCUCCACAUUCCAGUCAAAGAGGAGAGAGUGAAGAACAGACUAAUGAGGGAAAAGUUUAACCUAGAUGAGAAAUCAAAUGAGAAAAGACAGACAGGAGGCAGAGGGAAGGUACAAAAUGAGUAGGAAAAAAGGCUCAGGACACAAGGGUCGAAAUCAAGAUGUCAGUAUAGGGGAGCUCAUUCAGGAGGAAGGACAUCAGUGAAAAGAAGUGAAGGAGGAAGCAGGCAAACAUUGCAGCUGAAAGAAAAAUGGUAAGCAGCAGGGAAAUUUUUCUAAAACGUCUCUGAGUUUUUUCCAACUUGAACAUCCUGGCGUAUUAUAUGUCACUUCUGGAAGUCAAUGCAAACCAUUAUCAACCCCUUGUAAUAUGACCUCACAGAACAGAAACAAACUAAGUUGUAGUUAUGCAAAUUGUCAUUCAAUCUCCCCAUUCACAGCAGCCAUCAGUAUGAUUAAUUGGUGGUAUCUAUAGCAUUAGUUAUUAUAUGAUGAAUUUUUUCUGAUACACACAUAACCCAGCCUAUUAGAUUAUCUUAAUGAUCCCUCUCCAUAGAGGUAAAGGACAGAAAAUCUUUCAUUUUCUACUUUGAAUGUUGAUGAGCCACUUUCAUAUAGUCUAACAUAAUUAAGUCAACCAAUGAAUAUACCUAUGACUGGCCAAUGUCAAUUUCUCCCAAGCAAAGAGAACAUAAGGUAUACAUUUGCUUUAGAAUCUGCAAUACUAUUUUCAAUAUUGUCUGUUCAAGCUUUGCAUCCAACAAACUGAAAGGACUAAGAUAGUAAUUUCCAAUAUAAUAACAUAAAACAUGCUCAUCAGAAA
rnacentral:lncRNA from 1 species